rfam:Schistosoma rodhaini strain Burundi genome assembly, scaffold: SROB_scaffold0000103
GUGUAUUUACUUCAGCGGCACAUAUACUAAAAUUGAAACGAUACAAAGAAGUUUGGCAUGCCAUCUGCACAAGGAUAACGCGUGAAAUCGUGAAAUGUAGCAUACUUUU